rnacentral:rRNA from 1 species
AUUAGAUGAGCCUAUAUUAGAUUAGCUAGUUGGUGGAGUAAUAGCCUACCAAGGCAAUGAUCUAUAGCUGAUCUGAGAGGAUGAUCAGCCACACUGGAACUGAGAUACGGUCCAGACUCCUACGGGAGGCAGCAGUGGGGAAUAUUGGACAAUGGGCGAAAGCCUGAUCCAGCUAUGCCGCAUGAGUGAAGAAGGCCUUUGGGUUGUAAAGCUCUUUUAGUGAGGAAGAUAAUGACGGUACUCACAGAAGAAGUCCUGGCUAACUCCGUGCCAGCAGCCGCGGUAAUACGGAGAGGGCUAGCGUUAUUCGGAAUUAUUGGGCGUAAAGGGCGCGUAGGCUGAUUAAUAAGUUAAAAGUGAAAUCCCGAGGCUUAACCUUGGAAUUGCUUUUAAAACUAUUAAUCUAGAGAUUGAAAGAGGAUAGAAGAAUUCCUGAUGUAGAGGUAAAAUUCGUAAAUAUUAGGAGGAACACCAGUGGCGAAGGCGUCUAUCUGGUUCAAAUCUGACGCUGAGGCGCGAAGGCGUGGGGAGCAAACAGGAUUAGAUACCCUGGUAGUCCACGCUAUAAACGAUGAAUGUUAAAUAUGGGAAG